AGUCGANCGGCAGCGCGGACUUCGGUCUGGCGGCGAGUGGCGAACGGGUGAGUAAUGUAUCGGAACGUGCCCAGUAGCGGGGGAUAACUACUCGAAAGAGUAGCUAAUACCGCAUACGCCCUACGGGGGAAAGGGGGGGAUCGCAAGACCUCUCACUAUUGGAGCGGCCGAUAUCGGAUUAGCUAGUUGGUGAGGUAAAGGCUCACCAAGGCGACGAUCCGUAGCUGGUUUGAGAGGACGACCAGCCACACUGGGACUGAGACACGGCCCAGACUCCUACGGGAGGCAGCAGUGGGGAAUUUUGGACAAUGGGGGAAACCCUGAUCCAGCCAUUCCGCGUGUGCGAUGAAGGCCUUCGGGUUGUAAAGCACUUUUGGCAGGAAAGAAAUCGCACGGAUUAAUACUCUGUGUGGAUGACGGUACCUGCAGAAUAAGCACCGGCUAACUACGUGCCAGCAGCCGCGGUAAUACGUAGGGUGCAAGCGUUAAUCGGAAUUACUGGGCGUAAAGCGUGCGCAGGCGGUUCGGAAAGAAAGGUGUGAAAUCCCAGGGCUUAACCUUGGAACUGCACUUUUAACUACCGAGCUAGAGUAUGUCAGAGGGGGGUGGAAUUCCGCGUGUAGCAGUGAAAUGCGUAGAUAUGCGGAGGAACACCGAUGGCGAAGGCAGCCCCCUGGGAUAAUACUGACGCUCAUGCACGAAAGCGUGGGGAGCAAACAGGAUUAGAUACCCUGNUAGUCCACGCCCUAAACGAUGUCAACUAGCUGUUGGGGCCUUCGGGCCUUAGUAGCGCAGCUAACGCGUGAAGUUGACCGCCUGGGGAGUACGGUCGCAAGAUUAAAACUCAAAGGAAUUGACGGGGACCCGCACAAGCGGUGGNUGAUGUGGAUUAAUUCNAUGCAACGCGAAAACCUUACCUACCCUUGACNUGUCUGGAAUCCCGAAGAGAUUUGGGAGUGCUCGNANA
rnacentral:rRNA from 1 species